rnacentral:lncRNA from 10 species
ACCAGGAUCACUCAGAUAUAAGUGGCAGAGUUUACAUAGAACCCAGGCUUUAUUCUUAGGCUCAGCGUGAUGCCCCUAGUAACCUCAGGAUGACAUUUUCUCGGCACCCAGCCUCAGGAAAGAGAGAUUCCACUUCUCCAAUGGGUCAAACAACAGUCGUAGAACUGAGCCUUAUGGACAUCGUCUGUCUAACUUAGACCACUGUCCUUCUUGGAGCCAAUCACUGUGACUGGUGAAAUGAGUAUGCCUGAUUUUGACAAGGACCAGGACAUGUGACUAAACUUCGACCAACCAGAUGCUACAGAGAAGCAGCAGCGAUUUAGAAUUUAUUCCACCAAUGCCAAUGGUAGAAGUGGCAUUCAAUAUCCAGUCAUGGCAGUAGUGGUGCCAGUGAUGGUGUCCAUAAUUCAGUCAAGUUGGUGCGGCUUGACGUACGGUGAUAGCAGUGGCAGCAGGAACAGCAUCCUGCUCCAACUUCAGAUUACUUAAGCCUCCCACAUAGCUUUGGUUUACAAAGUUUCCUCAAAGAUAGUAUAAGUGAUAGAAAUGAAAAUACUAAGAUGGCUCACACCCUCAUCUUUGGCCCCUCUCUCCUACCCUCCUGAAGUCUAGAAGAUAACUUGCAGGUAUUUUAGCAAUGCAUGGCUAAUGGUAUACUUAGGUGCCUGAAGAAAUCCUGCUUCUGCUUUCCCUUUGGUUCUCUGGCUCAGAAGACUGCCAUGGUUUGGGGUACAAUGUAAUAUGGUAAAAGUUUCCCUUAUUUUUCAACACGGAAAUUAAUUAUACAUAACCACUCUGGAACUGAAGUUCAGCUUCUGGUCACAUUGCCUUUUCCUGAUAAGCUCCAACCCAGCUGCACCUGCUGCUGGCAUUUUCACAGUGAUGGCCAUGAUGGGAGCCUAUUCUUUACUGCCACUUAGCUCAAUGUAGCUAAUGUUGAAAGGAAAAUAAUUCACACUACUGUAUUUUGUAAUGCAGCAUGAUGGAGAGGUGUAGCUAUGACCAGAUAUUCACCAGCCUAGAAUUAGCUUUGAGGAGAGUAUUUCUAGGUAGUAGAUGCAGCUCUGCAUGUCCAACUACCUGCUCUAGAACUCUGCUGCAAUAACGUAAACUACCAAAUUCUUUCGGUAGCUCCAACCUGGAGACAAGGCGACCCAAAGAGUAGGAAUAAAACAAGUUAACACUAAAUGAGGAAUCAGAAGAUGGGUUUAGCACUGACUGUCUCUGGAUGGCUCCAUGAGCUGGCUGAAGCUAUUGAACUAUCUGGGUACUGGUUUAAUCAGAUAUCAAUGAUAGAAAUAUGAAUAGUGUCUACUUUAUAGGCUUUAUAGUCUCUGUUCCUUGAGUACUGAACGCUUGUCUUUUUUUUGUUGUGAAUUUUAAAUAAUUAAAUUUAUUUCUUCA